UACGUAGGGUGCAAGCGUUGUCCGGAAUUACUGGGCGUAAAGCGUGCGUAGGCGGUUUGUUAAGUCCGUUGUGAAAGCCCUGGGCUCAACCUGGGAAUUGCAGUGGAUACUGGCAAGCUAGAGUACGGUAGAGGAUGGUGGAAUUCCCGGUGUAGCGGUGAAAUGCGUAGAGAUCGGGAGGAACACCCGUGGCGAAGGCGGCCAUCUGGACCAGUACUGACGCUGAGGCACGAAAGCGUGGGGAGCAAACAGG
rnacentral:rRNA from 1 species